rnacentral:tRNA from 1 species
AUCUUUCUAGUAUCAAAGUUAGUACAAGUGACUUCCAAUCACACAGUCUUGGUUAAAAUCCAAGGAAAGAUA